CGCAGGCUCUUCAGUGAAGCCUGCCGAGGGCCCCAGGGAGCCCGGAGAAAUCAGCAGAGACAAGGGUGUCGCCGGGGCACCGGCUCAAAGGCGGCGGCACAGACAGCGGCAGCGGGAGUAACACUCAAGCACCUCGGAUCGCCAGGGAGACCCGUCCCGGCGGCCCUCGCGGCACACCGGAAGCGGCCGGCUGCGCGUGACCGCGUCCGACCUCUUGCGCAAGCGCAACCGCCUUGUCCCAGCCGAGAGGCGGUCCUAUAGAACCGCACCGCGCCUUAGCUGGGGGUUGGGGGAAAGUGGAGGGGACGGACUACUUCCGGCGAGAGGUCCCGGAAGGAGGAGCAACUUUGGCUGCCGGGGAUCGUACGCGCAGUAGGGAGCAGUACUAGGGUGGAGCAGUGUGGUGUUCAGUGCUUCAGGAGCUGAAAAAAUGAGGCCUUUGAUUGUCGGGAGGUCAACCAACCCACACUGCCUCAGGAACGUCCCUUCCCUCCCUUCUGGUUACCUAGCCAACCAGCAGGCCUGGAUGACAACCCGAUCUAUUUAAUGAGUGGCGGAUACAAGUGGAUGCCAGCAUGAAGCAGACAGAAGGCUGGAUCCUCCUGCUGAUGGACAGCUGCUCUGCUCACAGCAUGCUUUGGAAAGGGUACAGCCAUCAGGUUCCAGAUGCCAGCAAGAUACUGACCAGACUUCCCUGGACAGACGACCCCAUCUAUGUGUACUGGAGCUCCGCUUCCCCAGAGCCCCACCCUACUAAGGAAAGAGAGAGGCAGACUGGGAGUAUGGACCAACCAGUCAAUGCCCAUGUUCAGCGGGGAAGCAAUUACAGAAGCCAGACCUUCCACCCUCUGCAACCCACAACGACCCUGGAUCCUUACUCCCAGAGAGAUAGGGAAUGGGAAGGCUAUCAGGGGAGGGGAUGGGAUAUGGAGAUUGGGUUAUGGGAAUUGUGCAGAACUGUACCCCUCUUAUUUUAUGGUUGUGUUAAUGUCUCCUUUCUUCAAUAAUUAAAAAAAGAAUACAAAUUUUGGGUCUGGACGGUAGCACAGUGGGUUAAGCACACAUGGUGCGAAGCGCAAGGACUGGCAUAAGGAUCCCGGUUCGAGCCCCUGGCUUCCCACAUGUAGGGGAGUUGCUUCACAAGCAGUGAAGCAGGUCUGCAGGUGUCUGUCUUUCUCUCCCCUCUCUGUUUUCCCCUCCUCCAUUUCUCUUUUCCUAUCCAACAACGACAGCAAUGACAACAAUAAUAAUAUAACAGCAAUGAUAAACAACAAGGCAACAAAAGGGAAAAAAUAGCCUCCAGGAGCAGUGAAUUUGUAAUGCAGGCACUGAGCCCCAGCAAUAACCUUGGAGGCAAAGAAAAAAAAAAAGAAUACAAAUUUCAUAAAUAGGAAAUUGCACAUGAGCUUUAAGUAAUAUUAUGAUUCUAGUCCUCUGGAAAGAAAUCAGGAAAUUAGGGGUCGGGUGGUGGUGCACCAGGUUAAGCACACAUAGUAUGAAGUAUAAGGACCUGAUCAAGGAUCCCAGUUUGAAGCCCCCGGCUCCCCAACUGCAGGGGGGUAGGUUGCUUUACAAGUGGUGAAGCAGGUCUGCAGGUAUCUGUCUGUUUCUCCUAAUAUCUUCCCCUCUCUCAAUUUCUCUCUGCUUCAUCAAAAAAAAAAAAAAUUGAAAAAUGGCCACAAGAGCAGUGGCUUCGUAGUGCAGGCACCGAGCCCCAGCAAUAACCCUGGAGGCAAAAAAAAUAAAAAGAAAGAGAGGAAGAAAGGAAGAAAGAAAUAAAGAAAGAGAGAAAGAAAGAAAGAAAAAUCAGGAAAUUUCCUUAAAUGGAAUCUGACUAAUUGGUGAGUCCUCUUUUGGUUAGCUUGGUGGUUUCCAAAAUUGCCUGCACUUUCUGGUCACUUGAGUUUUACUUCCAGGGACUGGUUGGUGACUCACCUGCUAGAGAACACACAUCACCAUGCAUGAGGACUUGGGUUCAAUGCCCUAGUCCUCAUCUGCAAUGGGGAAACUUCACAAGGAGUGGAGCAGUGCUGCAGGUCCCCCUCCCUCUCUAUUUCUGUCUCUCACCCUCUAUCUAAAAAAAUGGCUCUAAAAAAUGGUUGCCAAAAGUGGUGAAGCUGUGUAGGCACCGAGUCCCAGUGAUAACCUUGGUGGCAAUAAUAAUUGUCAGGCAUUAAGCCAGCUCCCCCUGCUCCACCCUGCAUUGCUGCUACUAUGGCCUAUUUACAUAAUCAUUGUUUUCCUGAAAGAUCCCCACCCAUUCCAUUCCUUUAAUCUAUCUUCUUCAAGACCCGCCUUGCCUGAGGGUAACAUUAAUCCCACCAGUUAAAACCAUCGCAACAGUUGCUAGGGAAGUUUAUACUUUCUCAGCCCACUUUUGCCUUUCUCCACCCCCCUUCCUAGCCAUUUCCGUUUCCUACUUGCCACUUCCAGCUCUAUCCUAUAAAAGAGUUGUCUCUCUGAUCAAAUAAAGACAUUGCAUUACCACCCUGCCACAA